rnacentral:rRNA from 1 species
GACAGAGGAUGCAAGCGUUAUCCGGAAUGAUUGGGCGUAAAGCGUCUGUAGGUGGCUUUUUAAGUCCGCCGUCAAAUCCCAGGGCUCAACCCUGGACAGGCGGUGGAAACUACCAAGCUGGAGUACGGUAGGGGCAGAGGGAAUUUCCGGUGGAGCGGUGAAAUGCGUAGAGACCGGGAAAGAAACACCAACCGGCGGAAAGACACUCCAUGGCCUGGG